rnacentral:rRNA from 1 species
GUGGGGAAUAUUGGACAAUGGGCGAAAGCCUGAUCCAGCCAUGCCGCGUGUGUGAAGAAGGUCUUCGGAUUGUAAAGCACUUUAAGUUGGGAGGAAGGGCAGUAAGCUAAUACCUUGCUGUUUUGACGUUACCGACAGAAUAAGCACCGGCUAACUCUGUGCCAGCAGCCGCGGUAAUACAGAGGGUGCAAGCGUUAAUCGGAAUUACUGGGCGUAAAGCGCGCGUAGGUGGUUUGUUAAGUUGGAUGUGAAAGCCCCGGGCUCAACCUGGGAACUGCAUCCAAAACUGGCAAGCUAGAGUACGGUAGAGGGUGGUGGAAUUUCCUGUGUAGCGGUGAAAUGCGUAGAUAUAGGAAGGAACACCAG